UAAAAUAUGGAGAAAGAUUAAUUAGCAUGGAUUUUUCACUUCUUUAAGGGUAUAACUUAUGGGUGACUAUUGUGAUCAAAACAAGUGUCAAACAUAAGAUGUUCCAAAAAGUUAGCAUUGAUAUAUUAUUUAAAUAAGAUAGAGGUUCUGAGUAUUUUAUUUUUUCCCCUUUCCCUCUUCUCUCUUCAAUUUACUAGUCAGUCAUUAUAGAGGUUUUAAGUACACAUCCAAAAGAGGCUUCAAUCAAUUAUGUUGCUCCUGUUUCAUCACUUAAAUGUUGGUGUUAUUGAAGGGUUUCAGUUUUCUACAAAUAUUUGCUUAUUGAUAUUCUUAGUAG
rnacentral:misc_RNA from 1 species